GACGAACGCUGGCGGCGUGCUUAACACAUGCAAGUCGAACGGAAAGGCCCUGCUUGCAGGGUGCUCGAGUGGCGAACGGGUGAGUAACACGUGGGUGAUCUGCCCCUUACUUUGGGAUAAGCCUGGGAAACUGGGUCUAAUACUGGAUAGGACCAUGCUGUAGGUGGUGUGGUGGAAAGAUUAGUUUCGGUAAGGGAUGAGCUCGCGGCCUAUCAGCUUGUUGGUGGGGUAAUGGCCUACCAAGGCGUCGACGGGUAGCCGGCCUGAGAGGGUGGACGGCCAGAUUGGGACUGUGAGACGGGCCAGACUACUACGGGAGGCAGCAGUGGGGAAUAUUGCACAAUGGGCGCAAGCCUGAUGCAGCGACGCCGCGUGGGGGAUGACGGCCUUCGGGUUGUAAGCUCCUUUCAGCCAUGACGAAGCCCUUGUGGUGACGGUAGUGGUAGAAGAAGCACCGGCUAACUACGUG
rnacentral:rRNA from 1 species